UUAAAAGUUUUAUUUUAGCUUAAAAAUUUAUUAUUAAUUUAAUUUAUAUGUAAAUCUUUGUGUGAAUUUUUAUUUAUUUUAAUAAUAAGUAAUCAAUUAUAUUUGCAAUAAUUAAUAUUAUUAAUUGAAGAAAUUUAGAAAUAGUAAUAUUUAAUAGUAUUAGUUAAAUUUGUGCCAGCAGCUGCGGUUAUACAAAUAAUACAAAUAAAUUUUUUUAGAUUUAGUUAAAUUAUAUUAAUUUAAAAUUUAUGAAAAAUUUUUAGGUGAAAUUUUAAAUUUUUUAAAAAAUUUUUAUAUAAGAUAUUGAAGCUUAAAAAUUUUAGUAAUAAACUAGGAUUAGAUACCCUAUUAUUUAAAAUGUAAAAAUUUGAUUCUAAGGUAGUAAUAGUUAAGAUCUUGAAACUUAAAAAAUUUGGCGGUAUUUUAGUCUAUUCAGAGGAACCUGUUUUUUAAUCGAUAAUCCACGAUGGACCUUACUUAAAUUUGUAUAGUUUAUAUACCGUUGUUAUUAGAAUAUUUUAUAAGAACAUUAAUUUUCAUAAUUUUUAUUAAAAAAGUAUAUCAGAUCAAGGUGUAGCUUAUAUUUAAGUAAAAAUGGGUUACAAUAAAAUUAUUUAAAUGAAUAUAAAUUUGAAAUGUUUAUUGAAGGUGGAUUUGAUAGUAAAAUUAUAAAGACAAAUAAUUUGAUUUUAGCUCUAAAAUAUGCACACAUCGCCCGUCACUCUUAUUAUUUUUAAAGUAAGAUAAGUCGUAACAUAGUAGAUUUACUGGAAAGUGAAUCUAGAAUGC
rnacentral:ncRNA from 1 species